CUUUGGUUUUGGAAAGGGAGACUUUUUGAAGGGAAGCAUGGCCUGGACACUGGUUUUCCUUUCCCUUCUCAGUUAUUUCUCAUGCGUCACUUCACAGCCCACCUUGACUCAGCCUGCCUCCCAAUCUGGAUCUCCAGGUGGGACAACUAAAAUCUCCUGUGCCAUCAGCAGCAAUCCAAACACCAUUUACUGGCUUCAGCAGAGAUCUGGGGAAGCCCCUCGCUUUGUGCAAUAUGAUGGCGGCAGCAGAGGAGAAGGGAUCCCAGACCGAUUCACAGCAACCCGAUCAGGCAACAAUGGCUACUUAACCAUCACCAACCUUCAGGCUGAGGAUGAGGCUGAUUAUCACUGUUACAUGGGGUAUAGCAAUACGUUCCACAGCGUCACUUCCCAGCCCACCUUGACUCAGCCUGCCUCCCAGUCUGGAUCUCCAGGAGGGACAAUUAAACUCUCCUGUGCCAUCAGCAGCAAUCCAUACACCAUUGGCUGGAUUCAACAGAGAUCUGGGGAAGCCCCUCGCUUUGUGCACUGUGAUGGCUGCAGCAGCAGAGGAGAAGGGAUCCCAGACCGAUUCACGGGAACCCGGUCAGGCAACAACGGCUACUUAACCAUCACAAACCUUCAGGCUGGAGACGAGGCCGAUUAUUACUGUCACAUGUGGUAUAGCAGUGGUGGAGUGUUCCACAGUGAGACAAUCUAA